rnacentral:rRNA from 1 species
UGGGGAAUAUUGGACAAUGGGCGGAAGCCUGAUCCAGCCAUGCCGCGUGUGUGAAGAAGGCCUUUUGGUUGUAAAGCACUUUAAGCGAGGAGGAGGCUCCUUUAGUUAAUACCUAAAGUGAGUGGACGUUACUCGCAGAAUAAGCACCGGCUAACUCUGUGCCAGCAGCCGCGGUAAUACAGAGGGUGCGAGCGUUAAUCGGAUUUACUGGGCGUAAAGCGUGCGUAGGCGGCUUUUUAAGUCGGAUGUGAAAUCCCCGAGCUUAACUUGGGAAUUGCAUUCGAUACUGGGAAGCUAGAGUAUGGGAGAGGAUGGUAGAAUUCCAGGUGUAGCGGUGAAAUGCGUAGAGAUCUGGAGGAAUACCGAUGGCGAAGGCAGCCAUCUGGCCUAAUACUGACGCUGAGGUACGAAAGCAUGGGGAGCAAACAGG